AUCGAACGCUGGCGGCAUGCCUAACACAUGCAAGUCGAGCGAGAGGCGGACGGGCGAGCAGGGUCUGGAAAAGUGCGUGAUGGAGCGGGAUAACGACUGGAAACGGUAGCAACAACCGCUUACCAUCAGUUGUGCCCAGAUGGAAUUAGGUAGUAGGUGGGGUAACGGCUCACCGAGUCGACGAUCCCUAGCUGGUCUGAGAGGAUGACCGGCCACACGGGAACUGAGACACGGUCCAGACUCCUACGGGAGGCAGCAGUGGGGAAUAUUGCACAAUGGGCGCAAGCCUGAUGCAGCCAUGCCGCGUGAGUGAAGAAGGCCUUCGGGUUGUAAAGCUCUUUCAGCGAGGAGGCGGUACUCAAAGAGGAAGCACCGGCUAACUCCGUGCCAGCAGCCGCGGUAAUAC
rnacentral:rRNA from 1 species